AAGACUAUAGACCUGCGGAGUACCUGCGGAGGGAUCAUUAACGAGUUAGGGUCUUCUAGGCCCGACCUCCCAACCCUUUGCUUACUUGACCAUUGUUGCUUCGGCGAGCCCGUCUUUACUGACCGCCGGAGGACCGUAGAACGUCCUCUGGUCCGUGCUCGUCGGUGGCCAACUCUUCUAAAUUCUUAACUAAACGUGUCAUUAUCUAAGUACUAUUGUUAAUAAAAGCAAAACUUUUAA
rnacentral:misc_RNA from 1 species